UGAGUCGAUCCUAAGCCAACUGUGAAAGCAGUGACAUCCCGACAAAGGGGCAUUACGUGCGCUGCACUUACACCCCCACGGCAAAGCUCUGAGAUAUAUAUAUAUCUCUCUCUCUCUGACGAUAAAGGUGUCUGGUACGGAAUAUGCGCACGCACGGUGAUCACUACAAAUACGUGUGUGAGUGUGUGCGCUUGUAUGGUUACGCUCAUAAGCGUUGUUGCUCUCUGGUAAAAGGAUAAAGCAUAAGAGAGAGAGAGAGAGACACACAGAGUGUGGGUGAGCGUGAGUUUGCUCUCGCAUGAGCCCCCUGCGUCUGGUUCUAUGUCUGGCGAAAGGGAAUGGGGACUUUGUUCCUUGACCGGUCCCGGCACCCUCGAUUGGCUUUGCCAAUUAAUGGUCCAUGCAAAUGGAACCAGGCCACAGCCGCUGGCAGUCGCCCGAGGAA
rnacentral:rRNA from 1 species